rnacentral:rRNA from 1 species
GCCUACGGGAGGCAGCAGUAGGGAAUUUUCGUCAAUGGGCGCAAGCCUGAACGAGCGAUGCCGCGUGAGUGAAGAAGGCCUUCGGGUCGUAAAGCUCUGUUGCGGGGGAAAAAAGGCAGCAUCAGGAAAUGGGUGCUGACUGAUGGUGCCCCGCCAGAAAGUCACGGCCAACUACGUGCCAGCAGCCGCGGUAAUACGGAGGAUGCGAGCGUUAUCCGGAUUUAUUGGGUUUAAAGGGUGCGUAGGCGGGCUUUUAAGUCAGCGGUAAAAAUUCGGGGCUCAACCCCGUCCGGCCGUUGAAACUG